CCUACGGGAGGCAGCAGUGGGGAAUUUUCCGCAAUGGGCGAAAGCCUGACGGAGCAAUACCGCGUGAGGGAAGACGGCCUAUGGGUUGUAAACCUCUUUUUUCAGGGAGGAAUAAAUGACGUGUACCUGAAGAAUAAGCAUCGGCUAACUCCGUGCCAGCAGCCGCGGUAAGACGGAGGAUGCAAGUGUUAUCCGGAAUCACUGGGCGUAAAGCGUCUGUAGGUUGUUAAACAAGUCAACUGUUAAAUCUUGAGGCUCAACUUCAAAAUCGCAGUCGAAACUGUUUGACUAGAGUAUAGUAGGGGUAAAGGGAAUUUCCAGUGGAGCGGUGAAAUGCGUAGAUAUUGGAAAGAACACCGAUGGCGAAGGCACUUUACUGGGCUACUACUGACACUCAGAGACGAAAGCUAGGGUAGCAAAUGGGAUUAGAUACCCCAGUAGUCCUAGCCGUAAACAAUGGAUACUAGAUGUUGAACAGAUCGACCUGUGCAGUAUCAAAGCUAACGCGUUAAGUAUCCCGCCUGGGAAGUAUGCUCGCAAGAGUGAAACUCAAAGGAAUUGACGG
rnacentral:rRNA from 1 species